rnacentral:rRNA from 1 species
GUCUACGGCCAUGCCACCCUGAACGUGCCCGAUCUCGUCUGAUCGCGGAAGCUAAGCAGGGUCAGGCCUGGUUAGUACUUGGAUGGGAGACCACCUAGGAAUAUCAGGUGCUGUAGGUG